AAGGAUAUUACUCAGACCAAGGAUGGUAACCUGAUGGUCACAGGACAGUGGUUUUACCGACCUGAGGAAGCAAUAAAAAGAGCUGGUGGAAAUUGGCAAUCACGGGACACGAGGGAAUUGUUCUAUAGUUUUCACCGAGAUGCGGUCCCAGCGGAGUCGGUCAUGCACAAGUGUGUGGUGCACUUCAUACCAUUAAACAAGGAGAUCCCUAGACGGAAAGAGCAUCCUGGUUUUAUUGUUCAGA
rnacentral:misc_RNA from 1 species